AUACAAUGCAACCCCACACCAUCACAAACUUGAGUCAAAGCCCAAGCACAAGCAAUUUGAAUAACUUAUGUGAAGGCCUAGCAUUUGAUAAUGAUGCCAUAAGGGAUAUGAAUAUACAAUCCACUCAGUAGAAUAAAAUAAAUUCUUAACAGGGUUCUCGUGCAAUAGCAGAAGUGCAGCCACCUGUUAGAUUCUUGGCUCAUGAACCCAACUCAGCUACCAUCCCAUACCAACAAUUGAAUACGGAAGAGAGAAUAGAAGAAGAAGGAGAAGGAAGAUAGAAGCAGAGAAUGAGAGAGAAUAGAAAUCUGAGGGAGAAAAUGAG
rnacentral:misc_RNA from 1 species